ensembl:lncRNA
UGUGGACCAGUGGCAGCCUCCUGGUGAUUCCUACUGUUUAAAGGGUCCUAAACAAACCUCUGUUUAACCCUAUGCGGAAGAAUUUGAACAGCUGAGAGGCAAAGAUGGCAAUGAGAAGCCUGAUCAGAAGUCACCUGGGAUGGUGGGCUGGCAUAUUCAUCAAGGUGGAAACUGACAGAGGGGCCAGGAUCUUUUGGCUCAACCCCCUACCUGGGGACCCCAAGCCGUAUGCACAAAGUUUGUGUCAAUGGCACCCCACUCCAGUACUCUUGCCUGGAAAAUCCCAUGGAUGGAGGAGACUGGUGGGCUGCCGUCUAUGGGGUCACACAGAGUCAAGCACGACUGAAGUGACUUAGCAGCAGCAGCAGCAGCAGCAGCAGAGUUUGUGUAAGAUCAAUAUUGUUCUUCUCCCAAUAUUUGGAGGGAAUCACUGGUGAAAUCAUCUGGCCCUGAAUUUAUUUUGUGGGAAGAUUUUUAAAAAUUAUCAGUUCAUCAAUCAAGAUCUAGACAGGAGACAG